rnacentral:rRNA from 1 species
UUUAUAAUUAAAAUUAGUUAUUUAUUUUUUAUAAAAAUAAUAUACCAGGAAACCAUGAUUAUAUUAUUAUGAAUAAGAAUCCUAUCUUUGGCUGGACCGAGUGCGGCCAGACUUGAGUCUAGUACAUUCUUAAAUUUCCAGCUUGUCUGAUUAAUAACUCGAUGAUGUGGGUUAUUAAUUAGAAUUAGGUUGUAGCUCCAGCGUUAGGUAAAAUGGCUAUUCUUGAGAUUUUUUACUAAUGCGACAAUAGGGAUUCCAUUGAAUUAGAAUAUUAGUGUUUAAUACCUAGUUUAUUUGUAUUUAAUUACUAAAUAUUACUUCUCAAAUUAAUAAGAAGUACAGUGGGGUUGUUUUGUAUUUUUAAUUGUAAUUUUAAUUUGAUAUAUUAUUUUUAAUUAAAUUAUUUACAUUUCGAGAUAUCCCAGAAGAGCAGGGUUCUUUAUAAAUUCGGAAAAUUGAAUUUUCAAUUUAAGAUUUUUAUAAUAAUUCUCUGUCAUUUAAAGAGCAGGUUGGUAAGUAAGGUCAGGGGUUAAUUCUUUGAUUACUAAUACCAUGGUAAACGUGUCAGUAUUAUGGCGCUGGGAAAUUUAAUUAGUCACUCGUCCAAUCUGAAGUUUUAUAAUAGUUCUUCUGUACAAAAACUAUUUGUCCGCCUUUAAAUAUAACGGAUCAAGGAAUAUUAUUUAAGAUAUUUUAUUUUAUUUUGUUUUAUUAAUAUGAUUAAGGUAGUAAUAAUGUUUUUGAAAUUUUAAUUUAAGUAGUAGAAUUAUUUGUUGGAUUUUAUUAAUAUUUUAGAUUUGUUUUUUUAUUACUUGAUAUUGCAUUAGUUUUUUAUCGACCAUGAUUCGAAUAAUAAUUUAUAAAGUUAAUUAUUUAAUAUCCAAUAAUUAAAAAUCUCGAAUAGGGGAUUUUUUAAUUAUUUAAUUAUGAAAUAUGAUUUUUUAAUUUAUUUUCGUAAUUAAAAUUUUUUAAUUUAAAAAAGAAUUCUUUGAUUUAUAUAAUCCUUUGCUUAUUGUAAAGUAAAGAUAUUUAUUUAAUUAUUAUAAAUACUUUGUUAUUUAUAGUAAAUAAAUAUCUAGUUGGAUUUAACUCUAAUUAAAUAUGUUUAAUUUUAAAACUAUUUGGGACUAUGUUUUCCAUUUCUUUUAUUAAGGAUGAAUAAUAUUAAAUUUAAUUAUUAAUAAUUAAGUAAUUGUAAUGAUACUUUUAUAUUAAUUUUUUUAAUAAAGUUAUUUUAUAUGAUUCUGUUUUUAUUAAUUUUAAUAAAAAUAAUUUAAUUCAUUUGUAGUUUUUUUGUUUAUUAUUUAAUUAAAA